CCUACGGGUGGCAGCAGUGAGGAAUAUUGGUCAAUGGGCGAGAGCCUGAACCAGCCAAGUCGCGUGAAGGAUGACGGCCCUACGGGUUGUAAACUUCUUUUGUCAGGGAGCAAUUGAGUCCACGUGUGGGCUUAGCGAGAGUACCUGAAGAAAAAGCAUCGGCUAACUCCGUGCCAGCAGCCGCGGUAAUACGGAGGAUGCGAGCGUUAUCCGGAUUUAUUGGGUUUAAAGGGAGCGUAGGUGGAUUGUUAAGUCAGUUGUGAAAGUUUGCGGCUCAACCGUAAAAUUGCAGUUGAAACUGGCAGUCUUGAGUACAGUAGAGGUGGGCGGAAUUCGUGGUGUAGCGGUGAAAUGCUUAGAUAUCACGAAGAACUCCGAUUGCGAAGGCAGCAUACCGGCGCUCAACUGACGCUCAUGCACGAAAGUGUGGGUAUCGAACAGGAUUAGAUACCCCUGUAGUC
rnacentral:rRNA from 1 species